AUUGAACGCUGGCGGAAUGCCUUACACAUGCAAGUCGAACGGCAGCACGGACUUCGGUCUGGUGGCGAGUGGCGAACGGGUGAGUAAUGUAUCGGAACGUGCCCAGUCGUGGGGGAUAACGUAGUGAAAAUUACGCUAAUACCGCAUACGAUCUAUGGAUGAAAGCGGGGGAUCGCAAGACCUCGCGCGAUUGGAGCGGCCGAUAUCAGAUUAGGUAGUUGGUGGGGUAAAGGCCCACCAAGCCAACGAUCUGUAGCUGGUCUGAGAGGACGACCAGCCAAACUGGAACUGAGACACGGUCCAGACUCCUACGGGAGGCAGCAGUGUGGAAUUUUGGACAAUGGGCGAAAGCCUGAUCCAGCCAUUCCGCGUGCAGGGUGAAGGCCCUCGGGUUGUAAACUGCUUUUGUACAGAACGAAAAGGUUUCUACUAAUACUAGGAGCUCAUGACGGUACUGUAAGAAUAAGCACCGGCUAACUACGUGCCAGCCGCCGCAGUAA
rnacentral:rRNA from 1 species